rnacentral:lncRNA from 1 species
AAUCAAAUUAAUAACCAAGGAACAACUUAUAUGCCCAACAUAUAUAAAGUUCACUGUUUAAGUAAGUUUAAUAGUAAAUAUGGACCUCUUGUUUUCAAUAUUAUAGUCUAAUUAUAGCCCAUGGUUUUCUAUUUUUCUUGAUAUAUGUGACUGCAUAAAAAGAGAGAUGUAAGGGUGCAGCCAACUGCAGAUUUAUCUUCUACUUUUCCUUCCGUUCCUUAGUACUAGAAUGGCUCCAUUGAACUUACCGCAUUACAUAGUAAUAUUAUAUAUUAAUAUCAUGAUAGAUCCAUCAUGUCUUUCAGUGAGAGGCUAGUGGCAAAACUAUGUUUAUUUAUAAUUCUUAAAAGCCAGGUAUUACCAUUUCAGGUCUGAAAUUCAAAAUUCAAUGCAAAAUAAUAUCUAAGAAUAGAAGAAAUUUUAUUGCUAUUUUUGUAAUCCCAAUUGCUCAUCAAUUUAUCAUCCUAUUUAGAGUUGGGCCACAACUGCAGCCUUCAUAGUUGAAGGUGUUGGGAAGUAGGUAUGCCCUAAAAAGCCAUUUGCAUAUUAAACAUCGUAUUUUGAGAUAUCACAUAGGUAUAUCUUCUAUUCAUAGUCAUAAACAGCUAAAGGUUGUUUCACAUAUUAGUCUUUGAGGGGGACAAAGACCA